rnacentral:rRNA from 1 species
GAUGAACGCUGGCGGCGUGCCUAAUACAUGCAAGUCGAGCGAACAGACGAGGAGCUUGCUCCUCUGACGUUAGCGGCGGACGGGUGAGUAACACGUGGAUAACCUACCUAUAAGACUGGGAUAACUUCGGGAAACCGGAGCUAAUACCGGAUAACAUCUUGCACCGCAUGGUUCAACAGUGAAAGUCGGUUUUGCUGUCUCUUCUAGAUGGAUACGCGUCGCAUUAGCUAGUUGGUAAGGUAACGGCUUACCAAGGCUAGGAGGCGUAGCCGACCUGAGAGGGGGGUCGGCCACACUGGAACUGAGACACGGUCCAGACUCCUGCGGUAGGGAGCAGUAGGGAAUCUGCCGCAAUGGGCGGAAGCCUGACGGAGCGGCGCCGCGUGAGUGAAAGAGGUCUUCGGAUCGUGAAGCUCUGUUAUUAGGUAAGAACAAAUGUGUACGUAGCUAAGCACGUCGUGACGGUACCUAAUCAGAAAGCCACGGCUAACUACGUG